rnacentral:rRNA from 1 species
GUGAGGAAUAUUGCGCAAUGGAGGCAACUCUGACGCAGCCAUGCCGCGUGCAGGAAGAAGGCGCUACGCGUUGUAAACUGCUUUUAACCGGGAAGAAACCCCAGGACGUGUCCUGGGUUGACGGUACCGGAGGAAUAAGCACCGGCUAACUUCGUGCCAGCAGCCGCGGUAAUACGAAGGGUGCAAGCGUUAUCCGGAUUCAUUGGGUUUAAAGGGUGCGUAGGCGGAGCGUUAAGUCAGUGGUGAAAUCCUGCAGCUUAACUGUAGACUUGCCAUUGAUACUGGCGCGCUUGAGUGCGCUUGAAGUGGGCAGAAUGUGCCGUGUAGCGGUGAAAUGCUUAGAUAUGGCACAGAACACCAAUUGCGAAGGCAGCUCACUAAGGCGAUACUGACGCUGAGGCACGAAAGCGUGGGGAUCGAACAGGAUUAGAUACCCGGGUAGUCC